CAGUAGCCGCGGGAAAACGGAGGGUGCAAGCGUUAAUCGGAAUUACUGGGCGUAAAGCGCACGCAGGCGGUCUGUCAAGUCAGAUGUGAAAUCCCCGGGCUUAACCUGGGAACUGCAUUUGAAACUGGCAGGCUAGAGUCUUGUAGAGGGGGGUAGAAUUCCAGGUGUAGCGGUGAAAUGCGUAGAGAUCUGGAGGAAUACCGGUGGCGAAGGCAGCCCCCUGGGCCAAUACUGACGCUCAUGCACGAAAGCGUGGGGAGCAAACAGGAUUAGAUACCCGUGUAGUCCCUGUCUCUUAUAC
rnacentral:rRNA from 1 species